GUAGCUGAGGGAUUAUCCUUUGCCUCUUUUCGGAGAGGCCCCAUGCUAUGGAAGACUAUUGGCACCUUAAUUCAAUUGUCUAUUCAUUUGUCAAAUGGCUAUGCAUUAUGUUAUUUUUGUAUUAUUUUGGCGUUGUGUUUGGCAAAGUGUAAUGUUAUAUCCAAUUUUGACAUUUAAUGUUCUAUUCCAAAAGUUCUAAUGGCAAUUCAAUAUGUAAAGUGUCGAUACAAUGUCUUUAUAUAUUUCAAAUUACAAGAUUUUGAAAUGAAUAGCAUAUUGACAUGGAAAUUUGGCCUCUUUAUUCAUUGUUCUAUUCAUUCUUAAAAUGGCAUUUAGUUUGGAGUUGUUUUUGGCAAAGUUGAAUGUCAUAUCUUAUUUUGACUUGUAAUAUUCUAUUAAGUUUCAUUUAAUGUGUUGUGAAACAGCACCUCCCUCUGGAUUGCAUUGCAUAUUGCAUAUUGCAUUGCCACAUGGUUUGAGUGCAACUUAAUUCAAUAUGCUAUGCAGUUCUUGACCCCUGGGAAGGCGGGCCCUGGUCCGCUCUCGGCCAAUCAGAGACGAGUCUAUAUCCUCCUAGCUAGAUGCGCUGUGUUGUUGAUUUUGCUGGAAGUAAAUGCUGUUCUGACGGAUUGGAAGUAACAGAUCACCCUUCAUGAAGAUUCCAAGUUACUCUAAGGAGGUUCUAUGGCCCAGAAGACAGACCACCUGUGCGGACAACAGCCUGCUGCCAUCUUCAUCCAGUCACCUCAGCGCUGUUGACAUGAUCACAUUCAUAAUUUUCCACAAAUUCUAACAAAUUAGUUAUUAAUUAAAUGCAGACCAUCUUUGCAUCUCUCAAUUUAAUAUUUAUUUACAAGAAGCUCCUGACAACACAACGGGUUCAACCCAGCUCCUCUGCGACAUUCUCCUAGCCUUCGUUCCUCUGGACCGCUCCUGUACCACACAGCUGCUUCUUGGGGUUGCAGAGAAGAAUGAUUCCACCAUACAAGAAGAAUCUAAUUGGCCAGUCUAAAAAGUUCUACCGUCUCUUCAUAUUCAGAUGUUGUACGGUCUCUUCAUAGCGGCAUCUGGAAUGUAGAUGGUUAUAAAUGAUUAAAUAAAUAAAUAAAACAAUGUGUUGUGAUGUGUGUGCUUAUCAGCACAAACAUGCUCCAGUUGUCCAGGUGCCUGGGUAAGACAGAGUUUGUGCCUGAAUAACUUAGGUAUUACUGAUGUACUGUGAAAUCUCAUGAUGCUUUCUAGAUGCUGUUAGUACCACUAUUAUAAUCACCCCUGCCUGUAUCCGGAAUGUAAACUAAUUUUGAAUAUGGGGGUAGGCGCUUAUAAGCUUUCUUGCUUCGGCCUACUCCUUUUGAGUUUUUGUUACUUUAUUAUUUUCUGCACAGCAGCAAUGUUAAUGUAAAUAAUUACUCAGAUAAAUCCAAUCAAUCAACAUCGGUAGUAACAGAUUAGAUUUGUUACACAACUCUGAUCUAAAAUACAGAAUAGUACUUAGCCUCAUGUUUUUACAGAUGUAGUAUUUUGUCGUCACGUUAUUUAAUCUGAUCAUCAGGUUAACUGCACUGAAGAGUGUGAGAAUAGAAAUUAACAUGAGCAUACAAUAAAGUAUAGUUUAAUAAUUAAAACAAAAACGCGUGCCACCACGUUUGGUUUAGUGUAAGUAUUCUGCCUUUACUAGUGUGUGAGAACCAGCUUUGCAGAUAGAACAGUCUCUAAUGAAAACCAAGAAGCGUCUUGCUGUAUUUGUGUGAUUUACUGAAGCACUUUAAAACUGUAACAUACAGUUACACAACGAAUGCAUAUUACAAUCUCAAUUGGGUAAAUAUACAAUGCAAAUAGAAAAUAAGUAGCUUAGAGUUAACUAAAACCUUCAAAAAACGAUUGUAUUAGCGAGCUAUUAGCACGAAGCUAAUUUACAUGGGAAAAGCCAUAGGGGUGCCAACGUUAUUAGCGCCGAAUAUUUUCUUCCUAAUUACGAAUAGGAAACAUGCUAAAAUUACUGCAUUUGGUAUCUAAUGGAAGCUAAGAUCACUAUCAUUUGAAUACUUACAGACAGAUAUUUUUGUGGGUCAAAAUAAAAUGUAAGAAGCUGAAACACUGGAGUUUGACUUUCUGUGGGACUGCUGAGCAUGACUGAACUAGGUAGCAAGUGUUUUCUAAAAAAAGAAGAAAAAAACACACUAAACAGUACUGGUAUUUUAACAAACACGCUUCUAUACUUACAUAGAACCUCCUUAGAGUAACUUGGAAUCUUCAUGAAGGGUGAUCUGUUACUUCCAAUCCGUCAGAACAGCAUUUACUUCCAGCAAAAAUCAACAACACAGCGCAUCUAGCUAGGAGGAUAUAGACUCGUCUCUGAUUGGCCGAGAGCGGACCAGGGCCCGCCUUCCCAGGGGUCAAGAACUGCAUAGCAUAUUGAAUUAAGUUCCACAAACCAUGUGGCAAUGCAAUAUGCAAUAUGCAAUGCAAUCCAGAGGGAGGUGCUGUUUCACAACACAUUAAAUGAAACUUAAUAGAAUAUUACAAGUCAAAAUAAGAUAUGACAUUCAACUUUGCCAAAAACAACUCCAAACUAAAUGCCAUUUUAAGAAUGAAUAGAACAAUGAAUAAAGAGACCAAAUUUCCAUGUCAAUAUGCUAUUCAUUUCAAAAUCGUGUAAUUUGAAAUAUAUAAAGAGAUUGACUCGACACUUUACAUAUUGAAUUGCCAUUAGAACUUUUGGAAUAGGACAUUACAAGUCAAAAUAGGAUAUAACAUUACACUUUGCCAAACACAACGCCAAAAUAAAUACAAAAAUAACAUAAUGCAUAGCCAUUUGACAAAUGAAUAGACAAUUGAAUUAAGGUGCCAAUAGUCUUCCAUACCAUGCCCCCCGCAGUGAAAGUGACCUGUAGCCUUUCUUUGCGUGUGACUACAACUCAGCUAACAAAUCUUAAAUGCUAGAUCAUUAUGAUAGAAGUUUUCCUCAGAUGCACAGGCUGCAGAGGGAUUAGCGCACGGGAGCGGAGUGGCGACGCAAAUGUCAGGUGAGC
ensembl:lncRNA